UUGGCUGUACCAUGCAUUUUCUCUGUGGUAACUACGUGUUCCCCUGGGUUAAAGGAGAAACACAGUCUGUUGAAAAAACAUUUACCUGAAUAAGAAGAUAGUUGCAAAGAGGACCUGAGUGCACAAGGAAGAGACAACACUUGUUCUGCAGAACCUGCUGUUGGGUUUGACAACCUUGACUUUGAGAUCACUGCCCUCAAUAGCCUUCAUUUGUAGAAGAGGAACUCUGCUUGUUCUUUUUCUUCUUCCAACAAAGAGACGAGGAUAGGAGUCAAAGGGAAGCGGCUGAGCCAUACUGACAUGGAGAAGGAAGCGUCAUUGGAGGGACCGGCGUGGGAAAGAGCAGGGAGAGAAGACGGACUGUUUGAGGAUCGCGUCUACGAUGAACUAGCAUGUGGUUAAUCGAAUGCCUGGGGUUUGGUGUUGGGGAAAAUGUAAAUGCAUAUGGUACUUAAGUGCCUUUUAAAAACAGAUAAAAAUGGAA